rnacentral:lncRNA from 1 species
CAGAAGCUGCGGAGAGGCCGUGUCGGUCAAGGGACUUCCGCCCCACUGGCUGUCAUGAUCAGAUUCCGAUCUUUCUGUGUGAAAUCCCGAAUACUGAAACCGAGUAGGGGAGAAAAGUCCAUUUCAAAAAUCAAUCGAUCAGUAAGAGAAAACAAACAAACAAAAAACAGCCUUUAUUUACUCUACAAGCACCCUUAAGGUCUCAUUGUCCUGAGGUCGUCAAAAUAACCGUUGCUUUGGCAUCAUGGCUGUGCACACCUAACUUGGAAUUACUUAAUUCAUUAUGAUGCUUCCAAAGAAAAUCCUUUUGGUUGAUGAAAGCAGGAGAUAAAGAUAAUAAUGGCAACCAUCGACUGAAGUACUAGGCACUGAAUGAAGUGCCUCAUAUGAACUAUCCACUUAGCUCCUGCAGUAAACCCUUAAUGGCGCUAUUAGUAUCCCCAGUUUAGGGAUAGAGAAGCUAACGCUCAGAGAGAGAAAGUGAUUUGCCCAAAGCCACAGUGUUAGCAGGUGACACAACCAAGAUUCAGACCCAGGUUCUUCGUCUACCCUAACAGUAUUGCCAAAGAGAGAUUCCAAAGUUACCGCCUGGCCACUGGGUAAACCUCCGCAGCAGAGAGACCUACUUUAUGUUUCAUUUUCAAGCUCCUAUGGAGCCCAGCAGAGAGAGCUGACAAGGAGGAAUACUGCGAGGGGCUCACAGACUAAGACAAUCUGCUGGGAAAUUAGGAGUUUGAAACAUCCAACUAAGAAGCCUAAGGUUUAGACUGCAUCAUAUUCUAAUAACAACAGGAUUAUAAUAUCAAAUGAGACUCUCUGACCCUGCAAAUCUGGAACCAGCUGUAUAGGGACUUUGAACCUCCCUUUUCUCCAAUCUGCUGGUGUUUGUCAUCCUAAUAUAUACCUCAUAUUUUCUUUCUGAAAAUAAUUUUUAAAAUAUACCCAUCAUACAUACGGCAGCACAGUGUAUUCGUUUCAAUAAGAUUUACAUUCAGAAUAUUGAUAUCCAAAAAAAAAAAUUUUAAAUGGUGUUGUAUGUCUAGAUGCUAAAAAGAAAAAAAAACAUAUUUAUUACUAAAGCUGGGUGAACUUGUUAAUUAUAUAUCAGUACCAAUUUGGGAAAGGCAAGAGACUGUGCCUCCCUGGCACGAAGAAGGUGCUCCAUAAAUGCUGACGUUUCUCCCUCUGCAUGGAAAUCUCUGCUUCCUUUAGAGUAUCAAUGACAACAGUGAAAAAUAGAGUGAGCCUGACCAAACUGCAGAAAUCACCACAUACAAAGAGCACAAAGCUUGGAGGUUUGUGUGUUGUGGGACUGGGGAAUGGAGAGAAAAUAAACACCUAAAUGUGUGGGUUUGAGGAUAUAGAGAAAAUAGUUUCCAGUCCUGAUGAAACAUGCUCAGUUCUGGAUCCCCGUCUCUCACCUUGUACAAAAAUCAACUCAAGAAGGAUCAAAGACUUAAAUCUAAGACAUGAAAUUAUA